CAGGUAUUCCCUGAUGUGUCUGAUAAACAAGGAUGAGACAGAACACACGGGUCAGGAGUCUUAUGUCUGGAAGAUGUACCAAGAGAGAUGUUGGGAUUUCUUCCCUGCUGGUGAUUGUUUCCGCAAGCAGUAUGAGGACCAGCUUAGCUGAGACACCCACAGCUGGCCCUUCACUCACACUUCAAGUGCCGUAUUCUUACAGCAAGCCCCUUAGUCCCCAAAUCCCUCCACCCAAGGCCGCUGGGGGAGAGGUGACCAUGUGCUGUAGAAAUAAAGUCUGUGCUACAUCCC